GGCGCUGUAGCUUAGUUGGAGAAAGCGCCUGUCUUGUAAACAGGAGAUCCUGGGUUCAACUCCCAGUGCCUUCA